ACUUUUCAAAUUUCAUUUAUUAGUUUACCUCAUUCCAUCAGCUAGAAACCGCAAAACUCCCCCUCCCCAAAUCGUGAGAAAUUAAACCGAUCUCUGUCACUCUCCUCUCUCUUAACAUUUCACCAACAACAAUCAUUUUUCAGUUUUCUCCUUGCUUCCUCGUCCACCUUGAGUCCUCAGUUUGUGAAGGGAAUUUAUGGAAAUUGACAUUGAUGAGCUUCUGGGUCACAAUUGGCCGGUGAGCAUUCCGACGAAGAGGCGAUUUACAUGUGAGGAUAUUGCAUGUCCGAGCAGACAGGUUGAAAUGAGAAGGAGCAGAAGUUAAGGAUCCCGAAGCAACUCUCCGGAGCUUUUUAGGUGCACGGCGGGGGCUAAUUGGUGGUGGCUGGACAUUGUUUGUGAUCGCGAGCACACCGCUUAUGCUGCCUCAGAUGGGUUGCUUUUUCUUGGGGUAAUUAAGCUUCAUUUUUUUAUUUUAUUGUUUUAAGUGAAAUGAUGAAGAAAAUUGUUGGGAUUAAUUGAUCAUUGUCUAAUGAAUUAUGAUGAAAUUAAUUUUGGGGCAUUGAUUUAAACAAAUUGCAUAAUGGGAGUUUAAUGUUCCUGCAUAAUUAUGUUUGAAUUAUAAGAGUAAAAGAACAAACUCGCGAGUCUGAUAUACGUGGUGUAAGUUUCUUUAUGUUUUGUUAUACUGCCACAUUGAAUUUCAGGAUCAGAGAAAGGUUUUGGUUGGAAGAAUUGGGUCAUAAGGUAUUGCUAUCUCUCUUGUUUGAACUGUAGUAAAUGAUAUUUCUAUCAUGGCGUACAUGACGAGUUGACUACCUAAGUGUUAUCUGGAAAAGGAGAAUUAAAGAUGAUUCCUUUGGUGGAUGUUGAACAAGUAUUGGUAUGUAUUGCAUCUAAUGCUAAAUGAAGUUUCAAUGUUCCUUGACUCUUUGAUCCUUAUAAUUUCAGGUGUCUUGGGUACUUUUUUGACAUGCACCGUGUACUCACUUGGAUCAUGAUUACUUGCCUUUUGUCUAAUUGACUUUGUGAAUUUGAAUUGUUUUGUAUAUGAUGUCCUUAAGUGAUGAGUUUUGAUUUCUAAGCUUUAUAUUUUUCCUUGUUUGUCUCAUAGGUGGUUGGUGGUUCUAAUUCAUGAGGGUUUAUAAUUCAAAUAUCAACUACUACGUUUGGGCACCUGCAAAUUUGAAUUGUGAUUGGCUUGCUAGAGAUGUGUGUUUUCUUGAAGAAAGGAUUGCAGAGAAGAUGAAUAUCAUUGGAGGACCAAGAAUGGAACUAGGACUUGAGUUUGUUUUAGAGUGAAACAAAGUCUACAUGUUUUGGUACACACUGUAGCAUAACUCAGUGAUUUGGUUUUCUUAAUAUAACUACUCAUUUUGUUGUUA